ACCUUCUUGUUUGAGACUUCAACUAUGACGUUGAGAAUAAUUCUGAUGUGGCGAAAUGUUAUUGGGUGGGCCUAUAUUUUUCUUAUUUGCUAUACAAGUGAACAACUAUAUAUAUAUAUAUAUAUAUAAUUAGGUAAAACAAUAAUUAGAAUAUUAAGAUUAUUUGGAAAUAAAAAAAUAAAUGCAUAGUGUUAAACAAUACUAUCUUUUCCUGUUUUUGAAACCCCAUCGAACAUUUUGAAGCAUGUUAUUGUAAGACUCUUCCAAGAACUUUUCAGUCGUCUACCGCAGUUCUUCAAUAUCUUCACCAUUGAUGUCGGAUUGACUGCGUUCCAUGUUGAGAAGAUUAUAAUAAGCUUCUUUGAAAAAUUUUUCAGUCGCCAUCGCCUUUUCGGCUUCAAUCAAACCCUCGGAGAUAUUUGAUGGUGCUUUUCUCUUCCAAAUAAAAUGGAUUU
rnacentral:lncRNA from 1 species